rnacentral:tRNA from 1 species
AGUUUAGUAUUCAAGUAUGAUUUUAAAUUGCAAAUUUAAAGGUAAAUUAAUUUUCUAAACUU